ensembl:lncRNA
GUGAGAAUGAGGCGGAAUUGGUCCCUUGACCACACUUCUAACCUUAUGCCUAACACCAAAAAGCUAAUUUUAGUUAUGAAUGUAUGCAAUUAUAGACCAUUGACUUUGUGGCUGUGGUAACUAGUGGACACCAGGCGAUUUGGGCGUCUACUCGUCAUCCUGAGGGACACAUUUCAUCCCUGAGAACUCCCAUGGCUAUCAACAAUGGAAGGAGUGGUUCAGCAAGAAGUUGCUUCUCAAAGUGGAUGCUGUCCCUACCAACAAUGUGGCUGCUAAAGCAUAUGAAACAGCCAGCAGCACCAGCAGAGACCAAGCAUUAUCAUGGGCUUCAGUGAACAUGGAGGUCAUCCGGAGGUGAUGACCCCUCCACUCCACCAUUGUCAACUCUCUCCUGACAUGAACUGAAGCCACGUCUCGUACUCGCUCGUCCACUGGCACAUUGAAUGUUUUCUCUCCAAGCACUUCAAAUCCUGUCCUGCCCCCAGUGAAAGAGUUAUGCUCUUCUCUAACACCAUCCAUCCAUCCAUGAUGAGCCUGGCCUGCAUGUUCGAUUCCAGACUGAAUCACAACCGGCAGUGAUUGGAGUACCAUAGGGUGGCGCACAUUUGGCCCAGCGUCAUCCGGGUUUGGCCGGUAUAAAGUCAAAAGGAAGCAAUGGAGUGAGGUGGACAUCUUCCAUGCCGUGAAGGACUUUGGGGAUGGGAUGACUAUCCACCAGGCUGCCAAGGUGUAUAGUGUACCUCAGAAAACCCUGACGGACACUCUGAGCAGCCAGAUAACCCAUGGUUGUCGCAGCGGACCACCCACAUUGCCUGCACCAGAGGAUGAAAAUUCUCUGGUGCAGUACUAUAUCUACUGCGCUAGGCAUGGGGUUUCCUUUCACCAGACAACAGCUAAUGACACAUCCAACAAAAUAAGCAGGUUUUGGCACCGAGGAGAAACAAUCCCACCACUGGGGAAGAGGUGGUAGGAAAUGUUCAGAAGGAAGCACAAGAAACUGAGCAUGAGGAGGCCAGACACCCUGGACAGCGGGAGAGCUGAGUGUGCCACCCGUCCGAUGAUGGACACCUUCUUCUUGGAGGAGAGUGGGUUGAAGGAGAAACCCAGACAAAUCUUUAACUGCGAUGAGUCUUGAGUUUUAUAGCGACCAGAGCAGGCAAUGUCCUGGCUCUCUGGGGUGCAAAACACGUGUACCAGCAGGCUCCGGGAACCAAGGAGCACAUUAGUGCUGGCCUGCAUCCACGCAGCUGAGGAGGAUGUCCCCCUGUCUCCUUCUCCCCAUCGAUGAGCACAAGAGCCGCAUGGACCCUGAGGUGCUCGCUGCGGCUCAAAGGGAAGGGGUUAUACUACGUUGUCUUCCACCACACUGCACCCAUGUCCAGCAGCCGCUGGAUGUGGCAUAUUGUGGCGCUGUAAGGCUGAGUUCUCCAAGGUAGUUGAAGACCUCAGCCAUUUUGACCACUCCUAUAUGGUAAACAAAUCAGAAUUUGCUAGAGUAUUCUUCUACCUGUACCAGCGCUACUAAGACAUGCUGUAUGUGGUGGAAGGGUCCUUACCUUGCUGAAGUGUCAGCCAGACUGAUACAGAAGACUCCCUGUGGUCGCCACAUACCCCACCAGGGAGGAAUACAUGCCCCAGUGGCAGGAGAGGGGUGAGAGGGCCCCCCCACUGGAACCAUACCUGACAGCUGCAUCACCACCGCCCAUGCCUCCCAGUGUGCAACACCUGUAGGAGCAGGCCAUGUGUAUGCUCUCUCCCAGCCACACGAUUGUCGGUUGCUUAAUCCCACCAACACCAGCUUUUCCAAGCCAUCGGCGUCGGGUUUUGUCCACCACCACAAUGCAAACCAGCCCCCCCCUGUCUGUCAACCCCGAAACGGCCUCCUCUGGACCAACUGCCUCCUCCAUCUCUCCUGGUCACUGAACCACAGCAGCCUCAUCUGGUAUUCCUGACCACGGCCAUUUGAAUACAGACACCUCUACAGCACAGAAAAGGAAGAGAAAAGCUCUACCGGCCACCUGUCACGCCACCCAUUGCACCACCCUCAGGUACUUCACAAUCUGUUUGUUUCUCUCUCUCUGUUGUAUAAAUGACUAUUGUUGCUGUAUUGCAAACCAUGUUAAUCAAUGGAGCUUGAUUUUUUAUUGUGAUUUCUGUGAUAAU